rnacentral:rRNA from 1 species
CCUACGGGAGGCAGCAGUAGGGAAUCUUUCACAAUGGGCGAAAGCCUGAUGGAGCAACGCCGCGUGCAGGAUGAAGGCCUUCGGGUUGUAAACUGCUUUUAUAAGCGAGAAAUAUGAUGGUAACUUAUGAAUAAGGAUCGGCUAACUACGUGCCAGCAGCCGCGGUCAUACGUAGGAUCCGAGCAUUAUCCGGAGUGACUGGGUGUAAAGAGUUGCGUAGGUGGCAUAAUAAGUAGCUAGUGAAAUCUGGUGGCUCAACCAUUCAGACUAUUAGCUAAACUGUUCAGCUCGAGACCGUUAGGGGUAAGUGGAAUUUGUAGUGUAGGAGUGAAAUGCGUAGAUAUUAGAAGGAACACCGAUAGCGUAGGCAGGUUACUGGGACGGUUCUGACACUAAGGCACGAAAGCGUAGGGAGCAAACGGGAUUAGAUACCCCUGUAGUC